UACGUAGGGUGCGAGCGUUGUCCGGAAUUAUUGGGCGUAAAGAGCUUGUAGGCGGUCUGUCGCGUCUGCUGUGAAAAUCCGGGGCUCAACCCCGGACUUGCAGUGGGUACGGGCAGACUAGAGUGUGGUAGGGGAGACUGGAAUUCCUGGUGUAGCGGUGAAAUGCGUAGAUAUCGAGAGGGAACACCUGGCGGCGAAGGCGGGUUGCUGGGCUGACACUGACGCUGGAAGCGCGAAAGCCUAGGGGAGCGAACGGG
rnacentral:rRNA from 1 species